rnacentral:lncRNA from 1 species
UCGCUGGAAAGGCCCGUUCCAAAUAUUUUUAACCACCCACACCGCUGUCAAGUGCCACAACCUGCCCAACUGGAUCCACGCAUCCCAGUGCAAGCGAGUCCGGGCUCCAGUUGACACCAUGAUCUCACACCCACUCCUUGGCCCUGAAGAACCGUGGGAAGCUGUGGAGGUGACCCAAGACCUCCCCCAUAAAAGCCUUCGCUACUCAUUAAGAGGAAGGAAAAGAAAGGCCAGAAUAAAGCCUUCUGAAAAUCCUGUGGUAAGCCAAGCGCCCGCAGGUACAACCGUGUAACUAUGACAGACCCAGCCGAUAGAAUUAAGGAUCUGCUAAAGUACGGAAAUGGCUCAUGCCUUCCAUCUGGUUUAUGUGAGUGACUAUGCUAUUGCUAUUAAUCCUGAACUUUCAUGAUUUACUUGUUUUCUUUUGGACUUCCAGGUUGACUCCUGCCCCCGCCUCAACCCUUGGACUGGCACCCUCUACAUCCCAGCCCCAAGCUUCCCGGAGAACCUGAGUCGCCUGUUCUUUGGAUGCCCUGAAGGAAAAGAGACUGGCUACAACAAAAGACAUUGAAAACUUGCCAUGAGCACCAAGAAAUCAUCACAGCUUCAAGCAGUUAUCAUACUAUCAGGACCAGAGACAGAGAGAGAGAGACUAUCACUACAAGCAAAAAACAAAUACUGGAAUGAAGAUCCCUGGAGAGCUGCAGCUGAAGGAAACUCUUGGCUACUUCGACAUAAGAGGCAAACCAUCAAUGGGAAAAUGAGCAGGAUACUCUGUGGACUUUCUUUUUGUCCUUGUGGAUUAUUUCCAAGUUAUGGGAUCUUUAAUUCUCAAAUGAGUGGGAGAGUUGUUUGAGUAAAGAGUUCAGGAUCAGGCUGUAGCUUAUUAAAUAAAAAAGUUAGACAAUCAAGUUGUCUAGUGUUG